UACGUAGGGGACAAGCGUUGUCCGGAUUUACUGGGCGUAAAGAGCGCGCAGGCGGUCGAUCAAGUCGAGUGUGAAAGCCCCCGGCUCAACUGGGGAGGGUCAUUCGAUACUGAUCGACUCGAAGGCAGGAGAGGGUAGUGGAAUUCCCGGUGUAGUGGUGAAAUGCGUAGAUAUCGGGAGGAACACCAGUGGCGAAGGCGACUACCUGGCGUGUUCUUGACGCUGAGGCGCGAAAGCUAGGGGAGCAAACGGG
rnacentral:rRNA from 1 species